rnacentral:rRNA from 1 species
UGGGGAAUAUUGCACAAUGGGCGAAAGCCUGAUGCAGCAACGCCGCGUGAGUGAUGACGGUCUUCGGAUUGUAAAGCUCUGUCUUUGGGGACGAUAAUGACGGUACCCAAGGAGGAAGCCACGGCUAACUACGUGCCAGCAGCCGCGGUCAUACGUAGGUGACAAGCGUUGUCCGGAUUUACUGGGCGUAAAGGGUGCGUAGGCGGACCUUUAAGUGAGAUGUGAAAUCCCCGAGCUUAACUUGGGGGCUGCAUUUCAAACUGGAGGUCUAGAGUGCAGGAGAGGAGAGUGGAAUUCCUAGUGUAGCGGUGAAAUGCGUAGAGAUUAGGAAGAACACCAGGGGCGAAGGCGACUCUCUGGACUGUAACUGACGAUGAGGCACGAAA